UUGGAGAGCUGCUAUUGUUGUGCCCCGUGCCUCAGCUUCCUAGUCUAACUGCUGGGUAGAAGAGAGAACGAGAGACACUGAAGGAUAAGCACCUCUUUUUUUUUGUUCUGUCUUUUAUUCUUUCUUUCAUUCUUUCUUUCUCUGUAUGUUUGUCUCCAUCACCCUGUUUUCCUCAGUGUGGGGGCGAAAUUGUGGUUUAGGUAAGCUGAACAAAUUGCUGCAUGGUUUUCACUGUGUCAUCCUGUUAGUUUUGACCAGGAUUUAUUUUGUCUUGGAAUAGUAGCUAUAGCUGUAGGGUGAUUUAGCUAAGUACUGUAGAGAGAUUUCCCAAUUUCAGUUUAAAAAAAAUCUUUUUAGGGCGUUUUCUUUCAGGACCAACCAAGAGUGGAUUGUAAUGAUCUAUUUUUUUUAAAUCUUCAAAUUGUUUGCUUUGAUUAUUUCAGUGGUUAACUAUCUAAAUGCUUUCCUUUUUCCAUCGUUAGUUCUGGUAUGAAUUUCAUCCUGGCAGUCAUGCAUAAUGUAAUUGUCAGACAUACACAUUUUUUUAAGGUUUGAACGGUGAAGUCGGGAAUGACAGUUUCUUAAUAUAUAUCUGGAGGUUGUGGAGAUGCAGAUUAAGUCUUUUUCUUUUACAAAACGAUUAAUGAAGUAAUUGUAGAUCUUGAAUCAAUUAUUAUUAUUAUUUUUUUACAUCGAAUCAAUGGAAUGAUUUUGGAUAGGCUUAGUUGGAGCCUGCUAUUUGCAUUCAUGUGAGCAAAUCAAUUAGAGUCGGUUGGAAUGAAAUUGCUUUGACUUAUCAUACAUUAUUUAUGUCUUCAUAGCGGCAUUUAAUUAUUACUUUAAUUUGGAAAAUUAUCUUCAAAAAUUCAGGGCCUUUGGUGAAUUAACAUUUCACAAUAACACACCUCACAUUUUAUAUCAACAACACAUUUCAAAAUGUAUUUUAUUCAGAAUAAUUUAAAGAACGAUAUUAUUUCGAUUCUGGCAAAUUUGUGCAGAUUACAUUUUCCAUUACAAAGAUUUAAUUUAAUUUAUUAUAUUAAAUAUAGGAAUAGUAGGUGUAUGUUUUGGAAUAAAAUCUCAAGCGACCCCUGUUGUCUCUGUUAGUCUGACAUUCAGGACAAAAUAAUCUUCAAAUAGUCCAUGUUUUAUACCUGCCUCCUGGCAUUCUCUCGGUUUGUUUGAUUUGACCAGAUUCUUUAGGAGGAGGGGGUUGGGUUGACCGUGGGAUGUUAAUGGAAUAUACUAGGCUAUGGUAUUAUGGAUGGUUUAAAAGGCCAUGGGUGUUUGUGGUUGUGACCCUUAACCUCUACAUCUCUGUGUUUCCAGGAGGUUUCAUUAUGUGUGGAUAUGCUGGUGUGGGGUGAGAGCCAAAGAGAGAGAGAGAGCAGGACAGGGCUAAAAUGGGCAUCUCUUCCUCCUCAUGGAUCGCUCCUGGAAGACAGGACCACCAGGACUUCCAAGGAGGGCAGGGCUUCAGACCACCUCUGGCCCAGAAAAACCUUUGAAGGGGCCUUGUGUUGUGCUUCAAGGCGUCUUCAAUCAAUUAUGUUGAUACAGCGUAUUUCUCUGUGUUGCUUGCCAUUGGGAUCGACUGAGGAAUUUGAUGAUGCGGUCACGCUUGCUUGCGAUUCCCAUUCUUGCCUCUCUGUGUUUAAGAUUCUCUUCGGUGACGGGUAUUCUUGGGUGUAUAAUACGGAUCACGUUGUUAUUGCUUAAGAAUACGCGUAGUCGAGGAGAGUCCUCUUCUUCUUCUUCGUCUGUCUUCGUCUGCAGCUGAGGACUAUUGAUCAGAUCGAAGCAGCUCAAAGUACCCCCUUACCUGUUUCCUUUUAAUACUGAGGAGUUGGCACACCGAAACACAAACCGUAGAGACUGACUGACAUCCAGGCCCAUUUAUCAAGCAAGGAGACAGAGCACUGCCGGCUGCCUAUCUGUUUCAGUGAUGAUUGUGCUGUCCAGUCUUGAGAUAGUGUCGACCAACCACUCUCGUCUGCAGUUUUUUUUUUUUACCGCCCCCCCCCCCCCCUUCAUAAUUUUUAUACUGUGUUGUUGUCGUUUUGUCACAGAUGUUUCAGAUGUCACAUGUUUAUUUGACCAUUAUCAUGUCCAGUAUAUGAAAGUGUAUUUGAAUAUAUUCAUGCUGCAUUAUGUAUUUGUGUUGUGUGGUAGAUAUGCUACAGUGAGUAUGUAUUUCAUAGGCUUCUGAUACAACCGGAUAGUGUUGUUGUGCAGUUAUAGCAGAGGUUAGACUGCAUGGCCCUGGUCCUCUCUCAUGCAAAUCUCUCGAGUCUAUUCAUUAUCAGUUGUCCAGACCAAGCACUCUUUUCCUCCUUCUCCUUUUUUUAUGCAAAUUGAUUUUGAAAUGACAUUUAUCGCAUUGGGUUUUCCACACGAAAGAGCUGCCACACCGGAGCCCAGACAACAAAAUGUCCACCGCUCUAGCGAGAGCUCAAUUUAUGCAUUGGAGGAGAGUGGGUCUCGAUAACAAUUACCACAGGCUCAAAUAGACCAUAACCGGGUUUUCCAUGUUAUCAUAUGUAUGUUAUAUGCCAUGAAUAUGUAUCAGUCAGUCCCCCUGGUUGGAUGCAGGGUGCAUUCUGAACCCUAACACCCAUGUAAAAUACAUUUAAACACCAUUAUAGAAACUACUUGCCUCACUCAAGAUUCCCCUCCAGAAUUUUUUUUAAUGUCUAUUAAAUGUCAUAAAAAACUAAAUGUAUGGUAUUUAAUAUAUAUAUAUAUUUUUUUUACAAGCAUUCUUUGUCUUUUAAGAAUAAUGAAAAAAUCAACAGCUAGACAACUGGUCUUGAUUACUAUCAUACAAAUUAAUUAAACUAGCUGUACUAAUACCACUUCAGAUAUUUAAAUGAACACAAUUAUAUGUUAACUGCUUGGCUCGCUUGAUAAGAAAGAAACACCAGAAGCUUGGUUGACCCCAUAUUUCACCACUAUGGAAACUACAUAUCUGAUAAAGACCAUAUCAGAAUGUACUUUGGAUAUCACCUUCUGUAUUAGAUCUAAAUGAUUUCCGAGGGGGGGGGGGGGGGGGUAGACAUACGUCUAAUUUGUUGUGCUUCAAUGAAUCGCUGUAUUUUCUGUUUUGAAACAAUCCAGGCCCUUGCUGCUGAACCAUUCUUUACCUAACCAUGUGGUGUGGUCCUGAUCAAUUCAGCUGCUGAACCAUUCUUUACCUAACCAUGAUCACGUGGUGUGGUCCUGAUCAAUUCAGCUGCUGAACCAUUCUUUACCUAACCAUGAUCACGUGGUGUGGUCCUGAUCAAUUCAGCUGCUGAACCAUUCUUUACCUAACCAUGAUCACGUGGUGUGGUCCUGAUCAAUUCAGCUGCUGAACCAUUCUUUACCUAACCAUGAUCACGUGGUGUGGUCCUAAUCAAUUCAGCUGCUGACACGAUCUUUACCUAACCAUGAUCACGUGGUGUGGUCCUAAUCAAUUCAGCUGCUGACACGAUCUUUACCUAACCAUGAACACGUGGUGUGGUCCUAAUCAAUUCAGCUGCUGAACCAUUCUUUACCUAACCAUGAUCACGUGGUGUGGUCCUAAUCAAUUCAGCUGCUGAACCAUUCUUUACCUAACCAUGAUCACGUGGUGUGGUCCUGAUCAAUUCAGCUGCUGAACCAUUCUUUACCUAACCAUGAUCACGUGGUGUGGUCCUAAUCAAUUCGGCUGCUGAACCAUUCUUUACCUAACCAUGAUCACGUGGUGUGGUCCUAAUCAAUUCAGCUGCUGAACCAUUCGUUGCCUAUGCCUGCUUUUUGGAUUUUCUCUUGUCACGUUUACAUUACAUUACUAGUAGACAAUGUCAAUUAUCCUGAUAGACAGUAAGAAUGUCAGAGCCAAUAGUCAAAUGUAUAGAUUCAGUGAAUUGAGCAUGACAUUUUUUGAACACAUCUUAAUUUACAAGAAUAGUAUUAUAAAUGGAUCCCUUUUAUUUUUCAUAUAUUCUAGCAAUGUUCUGCUUUCCUACAAAGUAUACUUGCAUACAAAUUUGACGUUUAUACAUCUUUAAGUACGACUACAUUUGUUAUUAUAACAAAUGUAUUAACAUCCUUUAAAUUCACUAAAUAUGUUACAGUGAUAUACAUUGGAAAUCCAAUGACAUUAAAUCCAAUAGCUAUCUGAUAGUUUGCAUGAUUUCCUUUUUCAUUUAGGUGUGUUUAAUUCAUAGCGUAUCAUUAUUUUACUGAUAAUGUAUUACACAAACACAGCUGCAAUGUAAACUACAAUGCCAAUGACCCAUGUAUUGUAAAAGUGCCUUAUUCUAUAAAUAAAAUUUCACAAAAGAUACA